rnacentral:rRNA from 1 species
GACGAACGCUGGCGGCGUGCCUAAUACAUGCAAGUCGAACGCUGAAGGAGGAGCUUGCUUCUCUGGAUGAGUUGCGAACGGGUGAGUAACGCGUAGGUAACCUGCCUGGUAGCGGGGGAUAACUAUUGGAAACGAUAGCUAAUACCGCAUAAGAGUAGAUGUUGCAUGACAUUUGCUUAAAAGGUGCAAUUGCAUCACUACCAGAUGGACCUGCGUUGUAUUAGCUAGUUGGUGGGGUAACGGCUUACCAAGGCGACGAUACAUAGCCGACCUGAGAGGGUGAUCGGCCACACUGGGACUGAGACACGGCCCAGACUCCUACGGGAGGCAGCAGUAGGGAAUCUUCGGCAAUGGACGGAAGUCUGACCGAGCAACGCCGCGUGAGUGAAGAAGGUUUUCGGAUCGUAAAGCUCGGUUGUAAGAGAAGAACGAGUGUGAGAGUGGAAAGUUCACACUGUGACGGUAUCUUACCAGAAAGGGACGGCUAACUACGUG